GCAACCCGCAAGGCCGACGGCACCCGCCGCCGCUGGUGCAAGCCCAGCCGCCCCCACACAGGGCGGGCGCUCAUGGGUACACA
ncrna:unclassified sequences Twister-sister ribozyme sequence